rnacentral:lncRNA from 1 species
AUGCUCAAAAUUCUCCAAGACAGGGUUCAACAAUAUGUGAACCGUGAACUUCCUGAUGUUCAAGCUGCAUUUAGAAAAGGCAGAGGAACCAGAGAUCAAAUUGCCAACAUCUGCUGGAUCAUGGAAAAUGCAAGAGAGUUCCAGAAAAGCAUCUAUUUCUGCUUUAUUGACUAUGCCAAAGCCUUUGACUGUGUGGAUCACAAUCAACUGUGGAAAAUUCUGAAAGAGAUGGGAAUACCAGACCACUUGACCUGCCUCUUGAGAAAUCUGUAUGCAGGUCAGGAAGCAACAGUUAGAACUGGACAUGGAACAACAGACAGGUUUCAAAUAGGAAAAGGAGUACGUCAAGGCUGUAUAUUGUCACCCUGCUUAUUUAACUUCUAUGCAGAGUACAUCAUGAGAAACGCUGGUCUGGAAGAAACACAAGCUGGAAUCAAGACUGCCAGGAGAAAUAUCAGUAACCUCAGAUAUGCAGAUGACACCACCCUUAUGGCAGAAAGUGAAGAGGAGCUAAAAAGCCUCUUGAUGAGAGCGAAAGAGGAGAGCGAAAAAGUUGGCUUAAAGCUCAACAUUCAGAAAAUGAAGAUCAUGGCAUCCGGUCCCAUCACUUCAUGGGAAAUAGAUGGGGAAACAGUGGAAACAGUGUCAAACUUUAUUUUGGGGGGCUCCAAAGUCACUGCAGAUGGUGAUUGCAGCCAUGAAAUUAAAAGAUGCUUACUCCUUGGAAGAAAAGUUAUGAGCAACCUAGAUAGCAUAUUCAAAAGCAGAGACAUUACUUUGCCGACUAAGGUCCGUCUAGUCAAGGCUAUAGUUUUUCCUGUGGUCAUGUAUGGAUGUAAGAGUUGGACUGUGAAGAAGGCUGAGUGCCGAAGAAUUGAUGCUUUUGAACUGUGGUGUGGGAGAAGACUCUUGAGAGUCCCUUGGACUGCAAGGAGAUCCAGCCAGUCCAUUCUGAAGGAGAUCAGCCCUGGAAUUUCUUUGGAAGGAAUAAAGCUGAAACUCCAAUACUUUGGCCACCUCAUGCGAAGAGUUGACUCAUUGGAAAAGACUCUGAUGCUGGGAGGGAUUGGGGGCAGGAGGAGAAGGGGACAACAGAGGACGAGAUGGCUGGAUGGUAUCACUGACUCAAUGGACGUGAGUCUGAGUGAACUCUGGGAGUUGGUGAUGGACAGGGAGGCCUGGCGUGCUGCGAUUCAUGGGGUCGCAAAGUGUCGGACACGACUGAGUGAACUGAACUGA